rnacentral:rRNA from 1 species
UACGUAGGUGGCAAGCGUUGUCCGGAUUUAUUGGGUUUAAAGGGUGCGUAGGUGGGCAGGUAAGUCAGUGGUGAAAUCUCCGGGCUUAACUCGGAAACUGCCGUUGAUACUAUCUGUCUUGAAUAUCGUGGAGGUUAGCGGAAUAUGUCAUGUAGCGGUGAAAUGCUUAGAUAUGACAUAGAACACCCAUUGCGAAGGCAGCUAACUACACGAUCAUUGACACUGAGGCACGAAAGCGUGGGUAGCAAACAGG